GUCUAACUUGGGGAAUACAUUUUUCAUGUUGGUUGUUUGCAGCAGCAGCAGUGGAGCAGACAGCAUUGGAGGGAAGUUGCUUUCUAUAAACCCCUCACCUCAGUGACCAGCUACAGAGGAGAUGGGUUCCCAGCCCAGAUAAAUGGCGGCACCGGUGUCACCACUCGCAGCAGAGCUUGCAUCCCUUCGGCCCCGCCUCCUGAGAACGGGUCCCUUUCAGCCGGUCCCCAGGCCUCGAGACCCGAGAGCCGGAUGGAGACACCUCCCCGACACCCAGGGCACCGAGCGGUCCAGCAGGAAUAAGCCAACGGUUGCUGCCUGGUAUUUGAACAUCAUUUAAUGAGGGCCCAGAAUUCAUCUGUAAAUGUGCUUUGUUAAUUUAGGGCCUGCUCUUCAUUAAUUAGGGCUUUAGUGGCAAGUGCCACUGCGCUAUCUGCAAUGUUUAAGGGUGCGUCAAGCCUUAGUAAACGGCUUGCUGAUAACAAGCCGCAUCCAUCUUCGUUACUCAGCCACUCCUGUCUGACUUUGCUCAGCAUCUUCGAAGCGCCAGGCCUCUUGGAACUGAAGAAUUAAACUUUUAUCCAAACCAGAUUCUGCUCUUUCACCCCUCUGAUUCCUUGAGUACUUCCCAUUUAUUUUGCCUAAAUGACAUCUGAUUACCUAACAUGGAGUGGAGCGAGGUCUUAACCUAAAACAGCCUGCAGACCUCAGUUCUCAGCCGGAGAAUUCCGGGGGGUUAGCGCCCAGGAAAUCCUUACACUUCCAUUUCAUCCGAUCCUGGGCUCAGCGUAAGAGAAACAGUUUCUGACUUUUCUUCUCAUAAGGUUGCAGUUCCAAUAGAUUUUUUUUCUUUUAAAGCCGGAGAAAUACAGGAAAUUAAUUUUAAACCUGGAGAAUAAAUGUCCCAAUUGGUUCGAGUUUACUUUUGCUGUUUCUCUCUCUGAAAACAUGUAUCAUUUGAGGCAAUCACGGUGCCAAAUGAAAGAAUUCCAACCGUCUAGAGAGUCCUCCACGUCGAACCUCAGCUGUGCAAACGCCGUCGUGUCGGUGGCCAGAGGGGCUCGGAACCCCCCUCCCCUUUCGAGGCCCACAGCUCAAGCAGGCAGCAGGGCAGGCGUUUAGGCAGAUACUGCUCUUAAGAAAAGACACAGAAACUCUGCUCCAGGACCCAGAGCACUGCAUGCGGACGGCUGGUAAGAAAAGCCGCUCAAUUGUUCAAUUUUUAUUAUUCAAUAUUGUAUUAAAAAUUUUUAGGCUCUUCAGGUCAAGGCGACUUUUAAAAGGUUAAAAGCUAUUCAAAAGGGUUACCAUAUCCAUAAAAGCAAAUGAGAUUAAGCCUAAAGACUGAUGGAGGAAAAACAAUAAUUUAGAUAAACUGCCGCUGGCUCAAAAAUGUUUUGACUUUUACCAGAGGAAGGGAAUUCAGCGUCCUGGAUUGGUUGUCAUAUCAAAGAACGAUUCAUUAAAUUUGAAGCAAUUAUCUUUGUGCUUUUCAUUGUUGGGUGUGUUUUAGGCCAGGUUCCACCUUUCUUGGGUUGUCUUCUCUGUAAUGAUUUGAGAAACAUAAUUGCACGGCUCCACCUUGCAUCUGUCAACUCAUGACCUUGCUGGUUGGGCAUCUGUAACAUCAGACGGUGUUGUCAUGGAAAGAAUUAUGAUGUUUCAGUCGAAUGUAUCCCAAAGGUAGCAAAUCCCCAACACGAUUGGAUCACAUGGAAGAGUUUAGGGAAUGUGUCUCAGAGGCCUGGGGGAAUGCG
rnacentral:lncRNA from 1 species